CAAGGUGAGAGAUACGGAGGUAGAGCACUGAAUGUCCUAGGGGGUAUUGCACCUACCGAAGACUAUCAAACUCCGAAUGCCGUCAUCUUAUACUUGGGAGUCAGACUGUGGGGGAUAAGAUUCAUAGUCGAAAGGGCAACAGCCCAGAUCGUCAGCUAAGGUCCCUAAAUGUAAGUUAAGUGGUAAAGGAUGGGGGAUUGCACAGACAACCAGGAUGUUGGCUUAGAAGCAGCCACUCAUUCAAAGAGUGCGUAAUAGCUCACUGGUCGAGUGAUCCUGCGCCGAAGAUUUCCGGGGCUAAAACUUACUACCGAAGCUAC
rnacentral:rRNA from 1 species